AGAAUGAACGUUGGCGGCGUGGAUUAGGCAUGCAAGUCGUGCGAGAAGUCUUUUGCUUGCAUUAGACGGAAAGCGGCGAAAGGGAGAGUAACGCGUGGAUACCUACCCCCAGGUUCGGGAUAGCUGCGGGAAACUGCAGGUAAUACCGAAUAAUAUCUCCGGAUCAAAGGUGUGAUUCCGCCUGGAGACGGAUCCGCGUCCUAUUAGCUUGUUGGUGGGGUAACGGCCUACCAAGGCUACGAUGGGUACCGGGCGUGAGAGCGUGACCCGGCUCACUGGGACUGAGACACUGCCCAGACACCUACGGGUGGCUGCAGUCGAGAAUCUUUGGCAAUGGACGAAAGUCUGACCAAGCGACGCCGCGUGCGGGAUGAAGGCCUUCGGGUUGUAAACCGCUGUCAGUUGGGAGGAAAUCACAUGGGGUUCUCCCCAUGUGUUGACCUAUCUUCAGAGGAAGGACGGGCUAAGUUCGUGCCAGCAGCCGCGGUAAGACGAACCGUCCAAACGUUAUUCGGAAUUACUGGGCUUAAAGGGUGCGUAGGCGGCCCUAUAAGUUGGGUGUGAAAUACCUCGGCUCAACCGAGGAAUUGCGCCCAAUACUGUAGAGCUAGAGGGAGACAGAGGUGAGCGGAACUUGUGGUGGAGCGGUGAAAUGCGUUGAUAUUACAAGGAACACCUGUGGCGAAAGCGGCUCACUGGGUCUCUUCUGACGCUGAGGCACGAAAGCUGGGGGAGCGAACGGGAUUAGAUACCCCGGUAGUCCCAGCUGUAAACGAUGAGCACUAGACCGGAGGACCCUCCAUAGUUUUCCGGUCGUAGCGAAAGUGUUAAGUGCUCCGCCUGGGGAGUAUGGUCGCAAGGCUG
rnacentral:rRNA from 1 species